rnacentral:rRNA from 1 species
UACGUAGGUGGCAAGCGUUGUCCGGAAUUAUUGGGCGUAAAGCGCGCGCAGGCGGUCCUUUAAGUCUGAUGUGAAAGCCCACGGCUCAACCGUGGAGGGUCAUUGGAAACUGGGGGACUUGAGUGCAGAAGAGGAAAGCGGAAUUCCACGUGUAGCGGUGAAAUGCGUAGAGAUCCGGAGGAACACCGACGGCGUAGGCAGCGCCCUGGCCUGUUCUUGACGCUGAGGCGCGAAAGCUAGGGAGCAAACGGG